GUGCUCGCGUCAGCAGCACAUAUACUAAAAUUGCAAUGACACAGAGAAGAUUAGCAUGGUCCCUGUGCAUGGAUGACUCGCAAAUUAGUGAAGCGUUCCCUCUUUUU